rnacentral:lncRNA from 1 species
UACAACCUUUUCAUGUUUUGCCCAACCCAAGAAAGAAUAAUGCAAAGGUUUAAGUGCUGUUUGAAUUGAAACAGGCUCAUACUGCGUCUGGCUUAUUUACCAAGGAAUAGGAGAGCCUACCUUGUGAGUCAUGGAAUCACAGAUUCCCAGACUGGUUUGAGCUGGAAGGGACUUUAAUGACCAUCCAGUUCCACCCCCUGCCGUGUGUGGAACAUCUUCCACUAGACCAGACAAGAAAAGGAGUUCAGCUUGCAGCUUUUCUGGUUCUUGAUUCUUAUGAUGUGUCAGAUUUCCACCUCUGUUUUUAAAACACAUCUAUCCAGACCAUAACACCUUUCAUGUUGAAUGUCAGUCCCCAAACCCAAAAGGAAAUGUGUGAUUUCAGACAUUUUGAUGAGUUUCUGAGACUGUCAGUGACAAACCAUUAUGAAAACCCACUGAAAGAGAUGGAGAUGGAUUUAUAAGUAUAACUUAACUAUUUUAAUAACUCUUGUACAGUGCAUGGUUAUAUCAUUGUCUCCUUCGCUCAGUUACAUCACGUACAGUACUUUAUAGCAGUGUCUGCAGGCAGUACAAACAGAUCAGGUGCACAGCUCAGUCGCAUGAAAUUUGUAAAAGUGACCUCUGCAAUAAGGUCUGCUGAGAUAUCUGUUUUAGGAAGUGCUGCUGUGGCUCCCAGCUUUACAGAGCUGUCAUGUACACUCCUGUUGAAAUCCCAGAAAUUUUUCACCUCCUGUGCUUGCCAUCCUGCUUCCCUUCUCCAACCUAAUCCAGAGCCAGGGCUUCUCAGGAGGAUUGUCCUCUUCAUCCCUCCCUGACAAGGUGAGUGCCCUUCUCAGAUCCCAGCAAGGCUGUGACUAAACCCAGGAUCCCCCCCUGCCUGCACCCUAAUUCUGCUGGUGCCAGCAGUGUCCUCUUUCAAAUGAAGAAAACAGAUUAUCCAUUGGAGACACUUAAGAAUAAAGCCAAAACUGAGGUGCACUGGUGCUCUCAGAUUUAGACACGAGUUCCCCAGACGCUGUGUUAAAGCUUUUUCCAUUAAAUGUGCAAGGACAGACACAAAUUUGGGCAAAGACUCAGCACGUGCUGAGAGAGAAAACCCAACUGUCCCUGGCUGUGGCAGCUCUGGAGCUGUGUUUGCUUCACUGCUUUGCAAUCAGGUUGGUCUGUCACUUAUAGAGAUAGAAAAGCAAUGUGCCAAACUUGCUGUGGACAGGAACUAUGCUGCUUGCUUGAGUUUUGAAAUUGUGAGUAAAUUUUGGAAGUAUAAUCACUAUAUCUGCCUCUAGGGAGAGAGAUUUUCCUCACCCCCUAUUUACAGAUUGUUAUAUACAAAUGCACAUAACUUCAUGAAGGACAACAGGAAGUCAAAAGCAACAUCCUGUGUUAAAUUAGAUUUUUGUUUUUCUUGUGCCCAUUUAUUUGGAGUUAAACCUGCCUUUCCCAGCAUGCUUUAGGGUUUCAGCUAUUUGGGAAUCAUUUCAGCUGACUUUUUACAGUGGAAACGUGAAGGUGGGGAUGAGUGACCAACACCCUGGGAAGGGCUGUGGGUGUGCCUGGGAUGGGAGCAAAUGGCCAGGGCUUAUCUUCUCCUGGUCUGAGGCCGGGUUUGGCAGCACCACAACAUUCCAGUGCAGGAUCAGCGGCCCAGGGAAGGGCUGCACAGCUGCCCUGAGCCCAUCAGCAGCAGUGGGCAGGUGGAACUCACCCAUGUCCACAUUCAGAUCCCUUUGUGUGUCACUCCUGCUCAUUUCUAGGCCCUGAGAGCUCAUUUCAGCUGCUCAGAGACAGCACUAACUGGUCUGUGGAUUUAAGGAAGCAGCCAGACUUUGGGAAUGCGUGUUGCCAUUCCAGCCUUGUCCAAUGAGGGGACACAGGGGGACAGGAGGGGACAGGGAGUUGUCACCGGGCCUGUGCUCUUGGGCUGCAGGGGACACCUGCACUGAGGAGGAAAUGGAAAUGGGGCUGCCUUAGGUCACUCCCCAUCCCUGAAGUGCCCAAGGCCAGGCUGGACAGGAUUUGAACAACUCGGCCUUGUGAAAGGCGUCCCUGCCCACGAUGGGGGAUGGAACAGGAUGAGCUUCAAUGUCCUUUCCUUAAACCCAAACCCCUGCAGGGCUCCAAAGCCUUAUUCCUGUGGGGCAGGCUCCAGGCCUUGGGGCUGGCCUCUCCUGACUGUGUGCCACGCCUGCUCUGCCAGCGAGGGGUGGGAGCAGGGACAGCCCUCAGAGAAAACUUUGGGGGUCUUUGAAUGCAGCCUUGUCGUACAUCCAGCCCCGUGUGAAUCCUGCUCUGAUUGCAUGCAUGGAAAAUUUCAGUAUAAAAUAUAUAGUUAUAAAAAAAAUACUUCAUGCAAAAUUAAAACACCUUUCCCAGCGGGAUAUGGUAUCAUUGUCAACCCUUCCCAACAGUGUUCAAGGAAUUGUCACUCUGAUGGCAGCUGGACCCCAAGGGGAGCUCUGCUGCCUCCGGCCUGGGCCGGGAAUAAUUGCUUUCAUUCCCUUUUUUGCUGCACUACUUAGGGCUAAGAGCUGAAAUAAAGCAGAGAGACUUUAAUUAGCAGAAUCAAUCCUUUCCUGGCGGCGCUUCAUGAUUUCUUGGAGCUCUGACUCCCCUCUGCUUUUCUGGAAUGAAAACAAAACAGGAAGUUUGGAUUUGAAUUUCAAGCUGUAGUUAAAUGACAGUAUUUAAUGAAUGCUGUAGGAGUAGAGCUUGUUUCAAAGGGAUUGGUGAUAUCAGUAAAAAGCAGAUUAAUUAGUGGAUACAGGAGAAUCUUAUGGGUUUGGGGCCUUUUAGCUUAAAAGACACUUCAGAAUUCUUACGUGUAUUUUAUUGCUUGUGUAGGUUUGGUUGCAUUUCCCCCCCCCUCCCCCAUUGUGUUUCUUAAUAUGUUUUUUUAAUGAUCUAUAUGACACUGCUGGUACAGCCCCCCAUUCCAUCAGGAAUUAUCCAGAAAAACACUUACCUCCAGCUGGUUUUUCUUCACCGUGAUCUUGCUGUACACUCUGUUUCCCUCAUC